GCCUGAUCUCUUUAGGGAAGGAACAAUACUACACUGUCAGAAAUUAAGAAUUUAAAUCUUCCUCUUAUUCAUUUCCAAAGUACCUGAAACUCUUUACCAGGUCAGUGUGCUUUGUGGAAGAGAAAUAAAUGCUCUUCAUAGGCUCUAAAGAGAUACUUAUUCUUAGGAACCCAAAGUGUUGUUAUGGUUCAUUAGUCAAAGUAGGAGUUUACAGAAUUGAUUAAUGUAGUUUUAGCACAGUUCUAUCUCACAUGGGGCCAGAAGGUCCCCAAAUCUAUUCUGUGGUAUUUUUUCUCCAAUUCCAAAAUGCAAAGUUGGAAUCCAAAUACUCAGCCCUGGAAAUAUUUCUAUACGGGUUUCUUGAUUUGUUGACUGAGGACUAUUACAGAAGAAAUAUGAAGUUGAACUGUCUCUACUACCAAAGUAAUAAAAGCAAUAACCACACUCAUGGAAGAGAUGUGGAGAUUAGCGCCUCCAUCAGGAACUUAAAGGACGCAGGGGCUGUGCAGGAGACUUGAAUCUUGGAAAAUGGCAAUAGAAUAUAAACUUAAUCAUAUGGCGACUCCAGUGGUAACUGCUGUUCAGUUGUGUGUGUGUGUUCAUUUCAUUGAAAAAAAUGAACACAAUCCAUUACCAGGUAUGUGGCUAUAAAUCUGGUGAAUGCUUUUAUGGCUAUAUUUUUUAAUGAAGUGUACUGAAACAGUUUGCUUUCAGCUGGCAGAAUCUGCAAAAUUGUCUAACUUCCAGACUAUAUCAACUCUGCAGUCCUAUGUAAUAAUAUAUCCAUGAGAAUCUUGGUGACCUCUGCAUUCCACGGGACAUGAUGCUGGCCUUCUACAGUGCUGAUCAGACCUAGUAAGCACAAAGUCGCAAAUAUCCCAGACACCCUGACCACAGACACACAUGUAUACCAAGGACAGGAAUAAAUACCUAAAACUGUAAGGCACUGCCACCUUCUUAGAUGUCUUGGUGAGAGGUCCACUGUUCAGAGGGCACACUGAGAUAUAAGGCGAAGGCCUUUUUGGAUCUGUAGUGUGCUACCUCUUUAAUGGGAAAUCUUAGAGGCUAUCAGUAUUGAAUGGUGACCAGAGGAAAAUACUGCUCUACAUAUAGGUCUGGGCUGUCAUACAAACUGAUCUGCUACUGGGGCCUCAUGACCUAGCAGAUCCAAAAGUAUUCAACAUGUUUGUGGCAGAUGCAAAUGCUGUUUAGAACCUUCGAGAGGUCGCUGUAGAAGCACAAUGCAAAACUUCAGGAUUUUGGAGCAAAACUUUGUCAUCUUUUGCACACACAGUGUUCUCUUUUGAUAGCUCCUGGUGUGCUACUGGACCUUAGUAGAGAUAGAAUGUCUGACUCUGAGCCACUAAGUAACCAUUCAACCUCUUCUGCCCUUCAAGAACUGGGAAAUGUCUGAAAAAACAAGUAAUGAAACGUGUGUAUAGCAGCACUCCAUUACAAGUUGUAGUUUUAUAUACGAGAUUGGUCUCAAGCAAGACCUAAAGGUAAAAGUAAGAGGCUCAGAUUUGCAUGGCUCCUCCUCUUGCUGCAUUAACUGCUGUCUCUCAACGCAAGCAUACUGUAACAUAUUGAUGGAGGAGGAAAAUGCUGAGUCUCGUUUACUGAUAAUUCUAUGUAACAUGCUGGCAUCACCUAAAGUGGAGAACUGCGAGAUUACUGCCCCAUCCAAGAAAACCCUUCAGCAGCCCCAUUCUUCAGGAACCGUGAAGGACUAUGGCAAAGAACUAUCUGAUGAUGAAACGACCCAGACUCAAUUUUCCCAACUUCAGAGCCUUUUCUAUCCAUGAUCCCUCAUUCCUGCCUUUCUUGCCAUUCCUGUCCUGUCUCUCAACCUGACAAUGAAGCAUUUAUAUCGGAUCAAAUGAAACUCGCAUACUUUCUGUGACUUAAAAUCAGAAGUUUCCCUUGUCAAUUUCCCUUGCCACCUCUAAGAAAAGCUUAUCUAUGUUAAGUUCCUUUUUACUGAUUUGUAUUUUUAUGUUCCCCCAAAAUUUCACAUUGAUAUAUAAGAAUUUUCUGUUGCUAGUUUAAAUAAUUUUCUGCAUGAUUCAAUGAUUAUAAAUAUUUAUCUCCAAAAUAAUAUGAUCUAUUUUUCUUUAUUUAUCCUCAGUAUAUAUUUCCUUUAACUGAGAUCCAGUCAUCUGAAGUAUCUAGGUAGACUUGAUUUGAUAUAAAAUUAUAAACUAACCCUCUUAAGAAAAUGUCCAAAGUGACAUUUAGACAUUUGCUCUUUCAUGAAAGAUUCUAACAUAUAUUAUUGUGGUUAUUAUUAUCAAUAUUAUCUCCAAAAUUAUAUUGCAACUCUUUAGUUAGGUAAGUAAAGAUCCUGCUCUUCUGGAAACUGCCUGCUUCCCUUUCCAUAAAAUAGUUAAGUUUCUUUAACUAUUUUCUUCUAAUUCAAACGCUUUACCACAUGACUUUUUUUAGACCAUUAUGGAAAAGAAAGUCAAAACAUUGCUGGGUAUAAG
rnacentral:lncRNA from 1 species